rnacentral:misc_RNA from 1 species
GAACGCAUUAGCACUAUUUGCCUGUGGGCUAACUGUGAAUGGGACUGAUUUUGGUUUCUGGUUGUACAGCACCACAAUUGUCUGCUACCAUACCUUUUACCUGCCUCUGCUAUAUGUAACAUUUUUAGCGGACUUUUUCCAGGAGGAUGAUUUGCAUCUAGAGAAUGUAUACUAUUCAGAGAUGAAAGAUGCCGGUUUCUUUGAUGCUGAUUGGGAGUGAUGCAGUGAGAUUCCGGCUGGAUGACAAUCUGUACAUUGAAGUAACUUACGGAUGGCAAAAAUUGCUGCACUUUAAGAGAUGCUUGUUCAUUCCUUGCUUGACUUGUUCUUUCACUUUAGGUGUGCCGCUUC